GUAGAAGUUUACAUUCCUUAGAUACAUUGCUGGAGGUUGUGUUUGUAGAAUACCCGGGUAUUUGUUGUAGAGUAUAGGUUGUAGAGUCCAGCUUUCCAAAUAUUUGGCUAGAAUUGGUUGCAGAUAUUGAAUCAGCAUCAUCUGUUAUCACCGUGGUGAUGGUGUUGGUAUUUGUCUUUGUCUUUUGUCUUUGCUUUUUAUUUUGUUUGUUUUUUCCAUGAAACAUUUUUACACCAUUUAUGAUGUGUAGAGAUUGGAUACUCUCCGAUAUUCUUUUACGGAAUAAAU
rnacentral:lncRNA from 1 species